CCUGAGCACAGCAGGAUUUMAGAGAUCACGUUCAUGCAGCUGAACGGUGGCUCUGAAUGGUCUUUUUCUCCGUGCCUGGUGUGUCUCAGUAAGGAAUGAGGGUGCUCAUGACUUGAGACUUGGCACCUCUGUGUGAUGAAAUCCAUAUACUGGCUGUGGUUACAGGGCUGAGCAAAACACAGAGCAGAUGAAGAGAUACAGUGUUGAAGUUCAUGGGGCCUUAUUGUUCUGGAAGACUUCAUAACAAAAUGAGACAUCAUGAACUACAGAACUGUUGCUUCCAYGAGGAGCUUCAAAAAGGAAAAAAGCUCAGCAAAACAAAACAAACAUCUUACCUGCAGUCAGAAUAGCCAYKGACAAAAUURUCUUGGUACCUGGUGGCAAUCAACWGUGCAACACCUCUGUCUGUGCUCUGUUGUUUCUAUCAUCCCCUCCACAGUCUUUGCUAAAUGAUUUUUGCAUUAAUUAAUUGAUAGCUGUCGAUACACGUGUGUUUCACUCCACAGUUUGGAUGUGCUUUGAUUUGUGUAGGGAGCCUCCAAAAACCCUUUUUUUAAGGAUUUCAGUAGCUGGGAGUUCUUGUGAAAGCCAGUUGCUGAUGGACAGUGCUGCUCCAGUGGACAGACGGUUUCCAGAUUGAGUCUGCACGCAGCAGGGCUAAGCAAACUCUGCUCUCAUGGCCGGAGAUUUCCUUGGAAAGCACGAGGGAGACGUGGCACACUGAGACCAUGGGAAGAGUGGYCACCUUGUCCCAAGGUGGGGAUGUGGAGCGCUGUGAGGACUUGUCUCCUUGCAAAAUGAAGGAUGGCAGCUGCCUCUUUGAGACAGCACCACCAGAAUGAUGGUGUCACCCUAACCAGCUCAUUCCUUCCUGUGGUGCUGGGGCAGCUUGGUGGCCUUGGUGGCCUGCUGGGGUGCAGCAGGCAGUGGCUCUGCAGUUCUGUGUGUGACCUUAGACAUGCAGCCAGCAGGCACAGUUUGGGGAGCCUCAUUGAGGGUUAUGGGACUUCCUCUCAUGGCUCCGUUCACAAAUGAAAUGAGAGACAUGGAGAUCUGGGGAAAAACGGACCACAGGUGAAAGGAACAAUCAGUCUUACAGGGUCUUUAGAAGAAGGCAGGAGUAAAUACCCCAUGUAGAGGAAAAUUACCUGCAUAAAACAUUUUCCAAGAACAAAGAGGGAUGAUUUCUUCCAUCACUGACAUCGGUUGCACUCACCAUGGUGAGAAGCAACCCAUCUGAAACCCACAAGGCCACUGGAGGAAGAAAACUCUUGUGUGACACUUCCAAGCAUUCAGUUAAGUUUUGUUCUCCAAACAUACCUAAAUGAAGGACCUUUGAUCCCUCAAACGUAGGAAUUGUUCAGCCUCCACGUAUAAAGGACUUUUCCAAGAGUCUGAAUGU